rnacentral:lncRNA from 1 species
AAUGUCAUCUCAUAAUCCUUAUGUCCAUUACAUCAUAUAUCCAAAUCAUAAUACUAUAUUGGUCAUAAACAUCAUACAAGGAUUAGGAAUGCAUGUAUUGUCAUCCUAUAAUGCAUAGCAACACACAAUAUGCUUAAUACAAAUUGAUAAAGUACUACGACAUAGGAAGAAGCUCAGUUGCUUCGGGAUGGACACCCCCCACCUUUUAUCGCGUUCCGAUUGCUCGUCGUCACUUGCAAUCGGCCUCCCGCGGCGCACGCCGCUCUCGGCUUGACCCAAUCCGCGCGCGACCACCAAACGACCUCCGAUCCGCGAUCCGAAAAUUAAAGGUCUUCGGUUUCUUGUCACGAUACUUCAAAUCCGUUUCCAGGAUUUUACGACGUCGCCUCGGCCCUCCAAGCGAAAACGAAGCCUAAACGUCCGUUUCUUAAAUAACUUCGCAACGGCUCGUCGGAUUGCCGAACCGUCUUCGCCAACGCGUUUCGUUACCUAGCAAUUAGGUUUACGAAGGGUCAAAUGAGAUCAAACCCUCAUACUUUGAAAGUUAGCAUUUUGAGCCCUAGGUUUACAACUAUGCAAGAAAUCAUUAAAUUGCUCUAUGAUUCAAGCAUUAAUCAUCUAGAUAGCAUGCUAGGACUCCUCUAAAUCCAUUUAUAAGGUAUUUAAACCAAGCAUCAAGGAUCUACCAUUAAAGCCCUCAUUUUGGAGCUCUAGGUUUACACUAGGUAAAAACCCACCAUUAAUCUAAGCAUAACUCAUCUACUUAGCAUCUAGGAAAGCUACUAAUUCGUUUCUAGAGCUUAAAACCCAAGCAAUAGAGAAAUGCCAUUAAAGGGUUUUGAAGCUUACCUUCAAAGCUUGCUCUAAUGGAGAGGAAGAAGACCAUGAAGAUGAAAACCCACCCUUGAGCUUCAAUCUCCACCAAAACCCUCUCUUUUGGGAGAGAUUUAGAGAGAGAAAGUGAGGUUUUCCCCUCCCC